UAAUAUAAUCAAUUAACCCGGUAAGUGACGAAAAAACCCCAUCGCAACAGAAACCCUAAUUAUAAGCCAUCAACAAAACUACGAAACGAAACUUUUUAUUUCACCAGGUUAGGCCCAUUGAGCUAUAUAGCUCUUUGUCAGUAAUUUAAUUUGGUGGUGGUUAACGAUAAUGACUAUGAUGGAGUUUAGUAGCUGAUGAAAUGACAACCCCGUGACCGGGUUCCACGGGAGUGAAGCAAUCGUGUCACACUGGUGAUGACCUAUUUCCUUAAAUGUCAAGCUCUUACCACUACUUCUGCGUAAAACUUCAGAUUCAAAUUCUUGUAUGUUUACUUUGUCUCUGUGCUUUGUCAUGAUCAUGACGAUGGUGUAUCGAUUCAGACGACGUGAAAGCUGAGCGGGAGAAUGGCCAAAAAUAUCGGACGGGCGAAUAAACGGACGGAUGAACGGACUGGCGGGCGGGCGGAUGAAUGAAAGGGCAGACAGAUGGAAUCGUUGGAUUUUGAACGGAUGGACAGUUCGCACGGAGAGACGAAGGACGGAUGGUCAAGGCGCUUUGCCGUGUAACCCAUAAGGAAGAGGAGAGGAAUUCAUCCAACAGUCCUGUGAUGUUGCCGUCUGCAGCGGUGCACAGGCAAAAUAACAAACGUUCGUCACAUCCGUCAAUAACGCUACCCUACGAGUAAACGCGCAUAAAUAGCGCGACGUUUCGUGCAAUGGCCCGUCUUCAUUGCUCCCCGCUAACUGCAGGCGACGUGUGUUGAGUUUGGGAUAAGCCGUGGUCACUGUGACCGGCAGCAGCGGCCACUAUCUCGCCACGUCCGACUUGAGUCACCUCCCCCCCUCCCCAACACCCACUCAGUCCUCGUGAUAUAAACCGAAGCGAUAGUGACAACGCAGCGCUUCCCUUGCGCGACAGCUCGUCCGCUCACUGCCCAGUGGAACGCGCAAAAGCAGCAACCCGCACAUUAAUCAUCGCAGGAAAACACCAUCGCCCCGCGCAGAAUCAAUGAGUGUUAAAUAAUGUGAGCCGCGUGACGCCACGGCCUGGAUGUGUCUCGCGACUCGUUCACUCGGUCGUUUCAUUCAUUCAGAGGUUGUUGUCUACAGCGGCUCCUGCCGCCGCCGCUGUUGACACCGGUGAUGUGCAUCUGAUGUGAAUGGGCUCUCACUCGAGCACCGCGCUCCAAGCAAGGUUCAUCCACCGCGCUCCGAUAGCGGCGGGGAAUGGUCGCCGGCGGUCGAGACGAACAACGGAGUGAUGGCCAAGCGAGGGAACGCGUCCCACGAUGACUCGACCGAGAGGAGAGAAAGAGAGCGAGCGAGCGAGCGAGUGAGAGUCCAUCGGCUCGCGUGUGCGGGAGAGAGGUAGAGGAUUGCAUCGCGUGACCGCGAGAGAUGGCGACGACUCGGGGAGGCAUUCAUUCAGCAGUGGACGAGGGUGAUGAUGAUGAUGGUGACGAUGAUGACCGGCCCGAUCGCUCCCCGUGAUUAUCGCGUCCCACUCACGAAGCGCAGCGCCUUCGCGUUCACGCAGUCGCCGCGUGAAUCCGCGUUGUGUUGCAGUGCCCGUCGACUGCUGAUAAUAACAACAAUUAGUACAACAACAACAACAACAAAUAACAAAAACCUAAACAACAAAAACUAAAGAUUACUGACAUGUCCAACAACUCUGACGCGUGUGGAAGUGCGUUGACAGUCGUGCACAAAUAAUAAUCAUAAUUUAUGAUACUAAUAAAUUACAACCGCAUAUCUUUCAGGAAUUUGCCCGGUGACAAAACAUUUUUUUUAUAUAUAUACAAAAUAUAUAAUUUACAACAAGCGUGUGUUUUCUUUUUUCUUAAAACACGAAAUCUAUACACGCUCUAUAUGAUACAAGGACAAAGAUCCCCCGUAUAGCCUUCACAGACU